rnacentral:rRNA from 1 species
GACGGAGGGUGCUAGCGUUGUUCGGAAUCACUGGGCGUAAAGGGCGCGUAGGCGGCCUUGCAAGUCGGUUGGUGAAAGCCCGGGGCUCAACCCCGGAGGUGCGGCCGAGACUGCAGGCUGGAGGCCGGAAGAGGAGGGUGGAAUACCCAGUGUAGAGGUGAAAUUCGUAGAUAUUGGGUGGAACACCGGUGGCGAAAGCGGCUCUCUGGUCCGGACCUGACGCUGAGGCGCGAAAGCGUGGGGAGCAAACAGG